GCCGAGGUGGCACAACCUGGUACUGCGCAGGCCUGCUAAGCCUGUUUCCUUCGGGAUAUCCGGGUUCAAAUCCCGGCCUCGGCG
rnacentral:tRNA from 1 species